GCUCUCUGGGUGGCGAGUGGCGGACGGGUGAGGAAUACAUCGGAAUCUACUUUUUCGUGGGGGAUAACGUAGGGAAACUUACGCUAAUACCGCAUACGACCUACGGGUGAAAGCAGGGGAUCUUCGGACCUUGCGCGAUUGAAUGAGCCGAUGUCGGAUUAGCUAGUUGGCGGGGUAAAGGCCCACCAAGGCGACGAUCCGUAGCUGGUCUGAGAGGAUGAUCAGCCACACUGGAACUGAGACACGGUCCAGACUCCUACGGGAGGCAGCAGUGGGGAAUAUUGGACAAUGGGCGCAAGCCUGAUCCAGCCAUACCGCGUGGGUGAAGAAGGCCUUCGGGUUGUAAAGCCCUUUUGUGUGGGAAAGAAAUCCAGCUGGCUAAUACCCGGUUGGGAUGACGGUACCCAAAGAAUAAGCACCGGCUAACUUCGUGCCAGCAGCCGCGGUAAUACGAAGGGUGCAAGCGUUACUCGGAAUUACUGGGCGUAAAGCGUGCGUAGGUGGUCGUUUAAGUCCGUUGUGAAAGCCCUGGGCUCAACCUGGGAACUGCAGUGGAUACUGGGCGACUAGAGUGUGGUAGAGGGUAGCGGAAUUCCUGGUGUAACAGUGAAAUGCGUAGAGAUCAGGAGGAACAUCCAUGGCGAAGGCAGCUACCUGGACCAACACUGACACUGAGGC
rnacentral:rRNA from 1 species